GGCUUGCCAUUUUGGUUAGUGGCAUACGGGUGAGUAAUGCUUGGGAAUCUACCUAGAAGUUCAGGAUAAGCACUAGAAAUGGUGUCUAAUACUGGAUAAUACCCUGAGGGGGAAAGGUUGCGCGUAUCUUUUAAAGUCUUUUUGAUUUUAAAAGAUACGUUUCUGCUUCUAGAUGAGCCCAAGUUGGAUUAUGUUUGUUGGUGAGGUAAUGGCUUACCAAGACUAUGAUCCAUAGCUGGUCUGAGAGGAUGAUCAGCCACACUGGAACUGAGACACGGUCCAGACUCCUACGGGAGGCAGCAGUGAGGAAUAUUGGACAAUGGGCGCAAGCCUGAUCCAGCCACACCGCAUGAGUGAUGAAGGUCUUAGGACUGUAAAGCUCUUUCAGCAGGAAAGACUAUGACGGUACCUGCAAAAGAAGUCCCGGCUAACUCCGUGCCAGCAGCCGCGGUAAUACGGAGGGGGCGAGCGUUGUUCGGAUUUAUUGGGCGUAAAGGGUGCGUAGGCUGUAUGAUAAGUUAGGGGUGAAAUUCCAGGGCUCAACCUUGGAGCUGCUUCUAAAACUGUCACACUGGAGUCAGAGAGAGGAUAACAGAAUUCCUAGUGUAGGGGUGAUAUCC
rnacentral:rRNA from 1 species